ACUCUGUUAACACCUAAAAUUUUCACACACUGGAAGUAUAUGGCUAAAAACAACAUAAUUGUAAGGGAUAGAUGCUACAGAGUUUGAUCUUAGUGAAUCUCUUUUAUGCGUGCAGCGUAAUAGAUUAUGAAACAUGAAAGAGGAGCAGGUUGUAAGUCUUGUUCUCAUCUUCUCAGCAUUCCUCCUUAGUUAACAAUAACUGGAAGACAGAAUUCCAUGCACGUGUCCAGGUAGGAAAGGAGAAGGGUUGCAGGGAGUGCUACAGGAGUCCUGUUCAUCAUUCCCCACAGGAUGUUCAUCUGGGAUCAAAACCACUCUUUGCCAUCAAAAUCUAAGCCGCACUCCAUCGCCAUCCCCAGUCCUGUCUUUCUCACCCACAGCUGCUGAAUUGAGACUCCUUCCUAAUUUACCUCCUGUGCACAAACUUCUAAGUCAGAGUCAUUUUCCUGAGGAUCUUGACCCACAGCAGAAUCUUAUGAUGGGCUUAGUGCGAUUGUGACUUGCUCCCAUGCCCCUUCACCUCAGCUUCACUCUUGCUUCAGAAACAAAGCAUCUUACAAUGAGAGUGCCUGUGGAAAACAGCAGCCUCGUGGGCAUAUGAGGGGGCAGAAGGGGUAAGACUUCAAAAGACUAUUCGGAGAGGACUGUUUGGAAUUCCCCUAGAAAUUCACACCUGUAGGGUAUGACUUUACUCGAUCUGAGCUGCGGUACAAACAGCCUUUACCCCUAGGGACAUCUGUCAAAAACAGUGCCAGCUGUCGAACUCUGUAGCUUCCUUAAGUGAUGCUGAGGCUGGAUAUGACUUAAGUGCAGCUCUCAAAGCUUCCUGUGCUAGAAGCUCAGUUCUGGGCGGCUGAAGACUUUUACGAGUGGGACUCGGGUAAUGAGGUUCUCUUUGGAAAAGUAGUCUCAUGGACACCCUCAACAUUUGGGUGUAAUAAAAGGAUCCUGGCCUCUGA